rnacentral:rRNA from 1 species
GUGGCGGACGGGUGAGUAACACGUGGGUAACCUGCCUAAAAGAAGGGGAUAACACUUGGAAACAGGUGCUAAUACCGUAUAUCUCUAAGGAUCGCAUGAUCCUUAGAUGAAAGAUGGUUCUGCUAUCGCUUUUAGAUGGACCCGCGGCGUAUUAACUAGUUGGUGGGGUAACGGCCUACCAAGGUGAUGAUACGUAGCCGAACUGAGAGGUUGAUCGGCCACAUUGGGACUGAGACACGGCCCAAACUCC